rnacentral:rRNA from 1 species
GACGGAGGAGGCAAGCGUUAUCCGGCAUUAUGGGGCGUAAAGGGUACGUCGGCGGCUGGUCAAGUCUGGGGUCAAAGGCCACAGCUCAACUGUGGGAAGGCCCUGGAAACUGACCGGCUAGAGUGAGGUAGGGGUUGCGGGAACUCCCGGUGUAGCGGUGAAAUGCGUAGAGAUCGGGAAGAACACCUGAGGCGGAAGCGCGCAACUGGGCCUCAACUGACGCUGAGGUACGAAAGCUAGGGGAGCGAAGGGG